UAACCGCCAUCAGACGAGCCGUCUGCUCCCACAGGGUAUAUGAACAUUAUUAUGUAAUUCAGGUGAGAGGUGUUCAGAAAGAGGUCUGUAGAAGAUGGAGGAGACAGAUAUUCAGGAGAGGAAACGCAUUUGCCAAUGAGGAAGUGAUGGGCUUAUUUUAGCUGCCAAAAGGUCUGAACUAAACAUCCGUCUUCAACAGUUCAAAACUAUUGGGGAGUGGUCACAAGGCAGCAAGAGAACUGGUAUAGACCUGUCAUUCAGGAUUAAUUAGUGAUUCAUGUCAUCCAGUGAUUCAUGUGUAGAUGUCUUACACCUGUAGCAGAGUACCCCAGUGCAUCUACCACCGCCCUUGGCGCUGCAGACAGCAAACUGAUGAAUUCACCCCUCCCCCAAGCAGCCACCUUUGCCCCUGUUCUCAUUUGGACUCCAUAUGUUGUGAUCUAGCCAAUGUGAUCCCAGUCUACCUGACAGCAGCUCCAGCCAGCUAGCCAGCAAACAAAGCCACGUGUUAUCCUUUCCACCUUACUUAUCUGCAGGCAAUUCAUCAAUAGAGAGUGCAGUGAAAAAAUUACAAAUGGUUUAAAAUUAACGUUUAAUACAUAGUAUGCAUUUUCAACGGAGAACAAAAUUAUUAAAGGCAUUUCUUUAUCUGCAUCAUACAUGGUACCAGACAGAACCAGAAACGAUAUACCUCAAUUCCUGUUUAUAUUCCUUCAAUGAAAUUUGAAAUUGAGAUUAUGUAUUUGUAAAAACACAUCAACUUAUUAGCACUUGGUACGGUAGUUUUCAUGCAGCCUGCUUUUGGAUUGAAG